AAAAGAAACCAACAGGGAUUGCCCUAGUAACGGCGAGUGAAGCGCAACAGCUCAAAUUUGAAAGCUGGCUCUCGGGCCCGCAUUGUAAUUUGCAGAGGAUGCUUCUGGCGACGCGCCUUCCGAGUUCCCUGGAACGGGACGCCAUAGAGGGUGAGAGCCCCGUCCGGUCGUGCGCCUAGCCUCUGUGAAGCUCCUUCGACGAGUCGAGUAGUUUGGGAAUGCUGCUCAAAAUGGGAGGUAUACGUCUUCUAAAGCUAAAUAUUGGCCAGAGACCGAUAGCGCACAAGUAGAGUGAUCGAAAGAUGAAAAGCACUUUGAAAAGAGAGUUAAAAAGUACGUGAAAUUGUUGAAAGGGAAGCGCUCAUGACCAGACUUGGGCUGGCUCGAUCAUCCGUCGUUCUCGACGGUGCACUCGGCCGCUCAGGCCAGCAUCACGUUCCGCCGGGGGAUAAAGGCAGUGGAAAUGUGGCUCCCUCGGGAGUGUUAUAGCCCGCCGUGCAAUACCCUGGUGGGGGCUGAGGUUCGCGCGUAUGCACGGAUGCUGGCGUAAUGGUCAUCAGCGACCCGUCUUGAAACACGGACCAA
rnacentral:rRNA from 1 species